GAUGAACGCUGGCGGCGUGCCUAAUACAUGCAAGUCGAGCGAAUGGAAGGGAGCUUGCUCCCUGAAGUUAGCGGCGGACGGGUGAGUAACACGUGGGCAACCUACCUACAAGAUUGGGAUAACUUCGGGAAACCGGAGCUAAUACCGGGUAAUACAUUGGAUCGCAUGGUUCGAUGUUGAAAGAUGGCUUCGGCUAUCACUUGUAGAUGGGCCCGCGGCGCAUUAGCUAGUUGGUGAGGUAACGGCUCACCAAGGCAACGAUGCGUAGCCGACCUGAGAGGGUGAUCGGCCACACUGGGACUGAGACACGGCCCAGACUCCUACGGGAGGCAGCAGUAGGGAAUCUUCCGCAAUGGACGAAAGUCUGACGGAGCAACGCCGCGUGAGUGAUGAAGGCCUUCGGGUCGUAAAGCUCUGUUGUUAGGGAAGAACAAGUACCGUUUGAAUAAGGCGGUACCUUGACGGUACCUAACCAGAAAGCCACGGCUAACUACGUGCCUGCAGCCGCCGCGG
rnacentral:rRNA from 1 species